GACGAACGCUGGCGGCGUGCUUAACACAUGCAAGUCGAACGGAAAGGCCCUGCUUUUGUGGGGUGCUCGAGUGGCGAACGGGUGAGUAACACGUGAGUAACCUGCCCUUGACUUUGGGAUAACUUCAGGAAACUGGGGCUAAUACCGGAUAGGAGCUCCUGCUGCAUGGUGGGGGUUGGAAAGUUUCGGCGGUUGGGGAUGGACUCGCGGCUUAUCAGCUUGUUGGUGGGGUAGUGGCUUACCAAGGCUUUGACGGAUAGCCGGCCUGAGAGGGUGACCGGGGACAUUGGGACUGAGAUACGGCCCAGUCUCGUACGGGAGGCAGCAGGGGGGAAUAUUGCACAAUGGGCGGAAGCCUGAGGCAGCAGCGCUGCGUGCGGGAUGACGGCCUUCGGGGUGUAAACCGCUGUCGCCUGUGACGAAGCGUGAUUGACGGUAAUGGGUAAAGAAGCACCGGCUAACUACGUG
rnacentral:rRNA from 1 species